GGGAAUGUCAUUAUUCAUCAAACUUAGGCGAAACCAUCUCUCUUAAAACUUUUACUUACUUGAGGGGAAUUCUCUACCACCUAGCUGUUAGAAUUGAGACAUCGUAAGAGCACAUGU